UACGUAGGGGGCAAGCGUUGUCCGGAUUUAUUGGGCGUAAAGAGCUCGUAGGCGGCUCAGUAAGUCAGGUGUGAAAACUCCAGGCUCAACCUGGAGACGCCACCUGAUACUGCUGUGGCUAGAGUCCGGUAGGGGAGCAUGGAAUUCCUGGUGUAGCGGUGAAAUGCGCAGAUAUCAGGAGGAACACCAGUGGCGAAGGCGGUGCUCUGGGCCGGAACUGACGCUGAGGAGCGAAAGCGUGGGGAGCGAACAGG
rnacentral:rRNA from 1 species